rnacentral:rRNA from 1 species
AGCUCAAAUUUAAAAUCUGGCAGUCUUASUGUCCGAGUUGUAAUCUGGAGAAGCAUUUUCUGUGUCGGACCGUGUACAAGUCUCUUGGAAUAGAGCGUCAUAGAGGGUGAGAAUCCCGUCCAUGACACGGACGCCCGAUGCUUUGYGACAUGCUCUCGAAGAGUCGAGUUGUUUGGGAAUGCAGCUCAAAAUGGGUGGUAAAUUCCAUCUAAAGCUAAAUAUUGGCGAGAGACCGAUAGCGAACAAGUACCGUGAGGGAAAGAUGAAAAGCACUUUGGAAAGAGAGUUAAACAGUACGUGAAAUUGUUGAAAGGGAAACGCUUGAAGUCAGUCGCGUUGUCUGAGACUCAGCCUUGCUUUUGCUCGGUGUACUUCUUAGUUAACGGGUCAACAUCAAUUUUGGUUGGUGGAUAAAGGCAUUGGGAAUGUGGCACCUUCGGGUGUGUUUAUAGCCCUUUGUUGCAUACAUUGACUGGGAUUGAGGACUGCAGCACGCCGUCAUGGUCCGGGGGUUC